UACGAGUGGUGCUAGCGUUAUUCGGAAUUAUUGGGCGUACAGGGUGCGUAGACGGUAUGUUAAGUCUGCUGUUAAAUUCUCUGGCUUAACUGGAGAUCUGCGGUGGAAACUGGCGUACUAGAGGGUGGAAGAGAGAAGUGGAAUUCUCGGUGUAGCGGUAAAAUGCGUAGAUAUCGAGAGGAACACCGAUGGCGAAGGCAGCUUCUUGGUCCAUUCCUGACGUUGAGGCACGAAAGCGUGGGGAG
rnacentral:rRNA from 1 species